rnacentral:rRNA from 1 species
GAGUGAACCGGGAAGAGCUCAAUUUGAAAUCUGGCGUCCUCAGGGCGUCCGAGUUGUAAUCUAUAGAGGCGUUUUCCGUGCCGGACCGUGUCCAAGUUCCUUGGAACAGGAUAUCAAAGAGGGUGACAAUCCCGUACUUGACACGACGACCGGUGCUCUGUGAUACGUCUUCUACGAGUCGAGUUGUUUGGGAAUGCAGCUCAAAAUGGGUGGUGAGUUCCAUCUAAAGCUAAAUAUUGGCGAGAGACCGAUAGCGAACAAGUACCGUGAGGGAAAGAUGAAAAGCACUUUGGAAAGAGAGUUAAACAGUACGUGAAAUUGUUGAAAGGGAAACGAUUGAAGUCAGUCGUGACCGAGAGGCUCAGCCGGCUCUGCCGGUGUAUUCCCCUCGGUCGGGUCAACAUCAGUUUUGUCCGGUGGAUAAGGGCGGUAGGAAGGUGGCACCCUCGGGUGUGUUAUAGCCUGCCGUCGCAUACAUCGGGUGAGACUGAGGAACGCAGCUCGCCUUUAUGGCCGGGGUUCGCCCACGUCCGAGCUUAGGAUGUUGACAUAAUGGCUUUAAACGACCCGUCUUGAAACACGGACCA